UCAUGACUUCCACUCUGUUGUGGUACAAGAGAAGCCAGGCUCCUGGUACCCUGCUUGCCCGCCCUUUAUUUCCCCAGGCACUGUCCUUACUCAGAAAAACCUGUGCAGGGAGCCUGACUAUGUGGUGUUGUUUUCCACCUAGUAUGAGACAGGCCACCACCCUCCAUCACCAAAGAAGCAGCCAGAGCCAGUUCUUCCCAGGAGAAGGUAGCUCUCUCAGCUCUCACUCUCCUCAGGGUAGGGUCAGGACUGGAAGGAGACCUGGGACAGGAGCAAAGCGUGUCAUAGUGAUGCACGGGUGCAGGCUGCAGGACUUGUUCUCACAGGGACAACUUCUACGUUUUGUGCGUGUGGAACGUCCAGGCUGUAGGAAGCCAAAUGCUCUGCUUGAGUGAAUAACUUCAUCCAUCAGCAGAAAGGAAUUUGGUGAUUUCUUUCCCUUAAAAGGCAAAAGGAGAUAAAUGGCAAGGCAGCAAUCUUAGAAUUGCCAGGCAGCUUAUGAAAUUGCCACCUCAGCCUUGCGAGGCAGCAGAAGGCCUUUCCAUACUAUUGUUUGUCUGAGAUUGAAAAUGCAAUUUUCUGGCCUCUCUGUUGCUUCUUUUUAUACAACAUGCUUCAUGUUUUAUGCAAUAAUCAAAGGGGAAAAGGUUUUACACAAUCAACUUCAAAGAAGUACAGUGUCUGAAGGCUGAGUAAUGCUACUAAACUGCGUAGCAGUCCUCAAAGAAAAAGGUGUUGCCUACACAGCCAUAUGACCAGAGAGUUCAGCCUUUAGAAGAUAAAUUAAGGGCAUGUAUGUGGGUAUAGAGCAGACCAGGGUAGGUCAGAUUACACCUAGGAGGGAGAUUUGUCCAGAGGUGGAUGUUGGGGUCAGGGGGUGGUUUGCAUUUUGCUCUGAAGUGCGAAGUGUGGUCUGAAACCUGCUUCUGGAAGCACGUGGGUGAUUGAGGUGCCUGGGAGAGGCUCCCCAUUUCCAGCAUGGUGGCUUUGGACUCUGUUGUGAAAUUAAUUCCAUGGCUGUGCUGUUGCAGGCCAUGGCCUUGUCACAGUGGGCACACUCAGUGUAGCCAAUGCCAAGUUCUGCCUCGACUUCUUCAAAGACCUGAUCAAAGUAAAAACAAAUGAGAAUAUCUUCUUCUCCCCACUGAACAUCUCAGCACCCCUGAGCAUAGUCCAGAUGGGUGCUGGAAACAACACAGAAAAAGAGAUGAAGAAGGAGCUUGAACCAAUGCCCUGAGCAGAAGUAUGCUGUGGUUUGAGGAGAAUUCAUGGAAAAAGAGCAAGACAUUUCAAACAGGCAUUCAAAAAAUUCUGGAACAAAUGGCUACAUUCCUCUUCUCCAUGAAGGACAAGGAAGAAGGAAUUUCCAGUUGAAAAAGAGAACAGGUAGGUAAAAUUCCCUGGAAGGCAUCUUCAAGAAAGAAGUCUUCAGAAGCAUGGAACUGGAGCAAGCACAGGGAAUUGCCCUCCCUCUCUUCUAGAAUCAUUGCCUUAUGCCACAAUUGGCCAAAUAGGUACUUCAGUAAUUCAUAUUCUGUAUUUUUGUUUCCCUUCCUACUGUUCCACCUGCAGAAACUUUAAUAAUUAAUUUCCAUUACACAAACAUCUGUGUUUGAAUUUGGUGGUAUGAUUUUUAAUAGCAACAUGCAUCAAAGUUUUUAGAAUUUAUUUUUACAAGUAAAAC